AUUGAACGCUGGCGGCAGGCCUAACACAUGCAAGUCGAACGGUAGCACAGAGAGCUUGCUCUCGGGUGACGAGUGGCGGACGGGUGAGUAAUGUCUGGGAAACUGCCCGAUGGAGGGGGAUAACUACUGGAAACGGUAGCUAAUACCGCAUAACGUCGCAAGACCAAAGUGGGGGACCUUCGGGCCUCACACCAUCGGAUGUGCCCAGAUGGGAUUAGCUAGUAGGUGGGGUAAUGGCUCACCUAGGCGACGAUCCCUAGCUGGUCUGAGAGGAUGACCAGCGAAACUGGAACUGAGACACGGUCCAGACUCCUACUGGAGGCAGCAGUGGGGAAUAUUGGACAAUGGGCGCAAGCCUGAUGCAGCCAUGCCGCGUGUAUGAAGAAGGCCUUCGGGUUGUAAAGUACUUUCAGCGGGGAGGAAGGCGGUGAAGUUAAUAACUUCACCGAUUGACGUUACCCGCAGAAGAAGCACCGGCUAACUCCGUGCCAGCCGCCGCCGUAA
rnacentral:rRNA from 1 species